GCCGAAGUGAUGGAACAGGCAGACAUGCGCGGUUUAGGUCCGCGUGCCUUCGGGCGUGCGGGUUCGACUCCCGCCUUCGGCA
rnacentral:tRNA from 1 species